UACAGAGGUCUCAAGCGUUGUUCGGAUUCAUUGGGCGUAAAGGGUGCGUAGGCGGCGCGGUAAGUCGGGUGUGAAAUCUCGGGGCUUAACUCCGAAACUGCAUUCGAUACUGCCGUGCUUGAGGACUGGAGAGGAGACUGGAAUUUACGGUGUAGCAGUGAAAUGCGUAGAGAUCGUAAGGAAGACCAAUGGCGAAGGCGGGUCUCUGGACAGUUCCUGACACUGAGGCACGAAGGCCAGGGGAGCAAACGGG
rnacentral:rRNA from 1 species